CUGCCCUUGGCAAAGCCUCUCUGCUUUGUGCAACUGAUUUCCUCAUAGACCAAAAGAGAUCACAGGCUGCAAACAAACCAUUUGCUGCAUAAUGUGGAUUUGCUGCUGGUAAAUCACAGCACCAGAGAAGUCACUGGGAAGAGAUGGUACUUUUACCAGUGAGAUUCUCCCAGGCAUGGAAGAACUCUGGUGGGCCGAACAUGGGUUGAAAAUGGAUUAUAUCCAUGAGCAGGAGUUUUAUUUGUGUGGAUGUUGAAGAAGAGCAGUGUGACUGACCCAGCAUGAAGUUGUACCCCAAGUUCAGGGGGAAAACCUAAAACAAGGUGUGAAUCUAAGCUGAUGCCCAGAACAUCAAGGAUCUGUGCUAAAGGCAUGGGAGUCCACCUCUCUCUUCUUCUUGUUGACGAAGUGAAAGAGGACUGCAGGGAGGACAAUGAAGGCUCCAACUGCAGACAAAAAUCCAGCAGUGCCAGGAGUAACUAAGAACAGAAACUCAAAAAAGAAAUCAUCGGCGCAACCAGGACAAACUGCCUAGGGAACUAUGUGGGUUAAGCACAGCUGCAUCCAUGGCUCUGUUUUCCCAUCCUCUCCACAGAAGAAAUGGAACUGAAAUCCAGCACAAUUUGGGCUUGGAUAUAACAUCCAUUUAACACAUCAAUCUGGUCUUCUAAGGAUGUACAUCACACAGACUUGGUUCCAAUAAAGGUCUUCACUUCUGUCA
rnacentral:lncRNA from 1 species